AGUAUUUGCCGUUCCUUGGAGUCCAUGAGUCUUGCAUUGCAAUUACCUUCGAGUUCCGAUGUCCGAGUCACGGGCUAAAUAAGAAUGCGAAUUUCAUUCGCUUCGUCGUUCGACUCCCGAUUUAAAAUAAAAUAAAUAUUGACACCCCUUCCCG